rnacentral:rRNA from 1 species
AUGCAAAGACCUGAUGGUGGUGGAACAUUAUGUCAAGCCAGGGUCCAGCUUUUGGUAAACCACUUCAUAGUCAAGUACUCAAAGCUGUCAACCUUUUUUCACUAUGACAUAGAUAUCAAGUUUGAUCCAGCGCCUUCAAAGGUUUCUGGCAAGGAGCUCUCCAAUGCAGAUUUUCUUUCUGCAAAGGCCGAGCUUUUCAAGGAUGACAGCUUUCGGCAGCUUUCAUCGGCUGUUGCUUAUUAUGGAAAGAGAAACCUAUUUACUGUUGCACAACUGCCAGAAGGUUUAUUCCGUGUCAGAGUUUGUUCAAAGACCUACAUUGUAUCAGUAGAGUUCAAGAAGCAGCUUCCUCUAAGCCAAUUCUCGGAGCUGCCUGUGGCUAGGGAGAUCUUACAGGGUCUUGAUGUCAUUGUGCGUGAGGCUUCUAGCUGGAGCAAGAUUAUACUUGGUCAUGGAUUUUACUCACCACAAAGCAAAGCGGAUAUGGGGUCAGGUGUUGUAUCUAUGAAAGGAACCCAGCAGACCCUUAAACACACUCAGCAGGGACUGGUCCUAUGUGUCGACUAUUCAGUUAUGCCAUUUCGCAGAGAUGGACCUGUUCUGGAUAUUGUGCGGCAGUUUAUAAAGCCCCUUCCCCUUGACUACAGGACAACACUAAUUUUUUUAUUAAUAUAG